AAUUCUCAACUCCUCCAGCUUUUGCGAGCUGCGAUGGGGCUUGGAUGUUGGGGGUUGCGGGCCUUCACAGGUCAGCUCUCCUGAAAUGUAUUAGCGGAACCGUUUGCAGUCCCGUCACUAGUGUGAUAAUUAUCUACACUGUGAUGAUUGCUCUCUGACUAGUUCAGCUACUAAUAGUCCACUUUCCGGACAACUUAAUGAAAA
rnacentral:misc_RNA from 1 species